rnacentral:lncRNA from 1 species
UUCUAUGAUUAAGUGUCAUUAUGUGUGGCUUUUGUGCUAUAAAAAAUCUAUAACAUUCAAUUUUUCUCAAAAAAUUGUCAAAUUUGGUGUGGACACUUCCCUAGUGCUAUAGAACACCCAUAAAAAAAAUUCAAGUUCAAACAAAAAAAACAUGUCACAUUUGGUUCAUGGGGUUGGAUGUUUUCUGAGAGAUCUACCUAGAUGGUUUCUGAGAGAUCUACCUACACGGGUUCGAUCUCUGUGCUUUUAGUGCUAGUCCCUGGAUCGACUCACUAGCACACAUAGUUCAA